GGCUCGGUAGCACAAUGGUAGUGCGUCAGACUCCAGUGAUUCGAGAGUCUCCUCGCGAACGCGAGGACGCCGUUGAAGUUAUCUGAAGGUUGCGGGUUCGACUCCUGCCUGGGUCA
rnacentral:tRNA from 1 species